rnacentral:rRNA from 1 species
AGAGUUUGAUCAUGGCUCAGGACGAACGCUGGCGGCGUGCUUAACACAUGCAAGUCGAACGGAAAGGCCCUUCGGGGUACUCGAGUGGCGAACGGGUGAGUAACACGUGGGUGAUCUGCCCUGCACUUUGGGAUAAUCCUGGGAAACUGGGUCUAAUACCGAAUAUGACCAUGCGCCUCCUGGUGUGUGGUGGAAAGCUUUUGCGGUGUGGGAUGGGCCCGCGGCCUAUCAGCUUGUUGGUGGGGUAAUGGCCUACCAAGGCGACGACGGGUAGCCGGCCUGAGAGGGUGACCGGCCACACUGGGACUGAGAUACGGCCCAGACUCCUACGGGAGGCAGCAGUGGGGAAUAUUGCACAAUGGGCGCAAGCCUGAUGCAGCGACGCCGCGUGAGGGAUGACGGCCUUCGGGUUGUAAACCUCUUUCAGCACAGACGAAGCGCAAGUGACGGUAUGUGCAGAAGAAGGACCGGCCAACUACGUGCCAGCAGCCGCGGUAAUACGUAGGGUCCGAGCGUUGUCCGGAGUUACUGGGCGUAAAGAGCUCGUAGGUGGUUUGUCGCGUUGUUCGUGAAAACUCACAGCUUAACUGUGGGCGUGCGGGCGAUACGGGCAGACUUGAGUACUGCAGGGGAGACUGGAAUUCCUGGUGUAGCGGUGGAAUGCGCAGAUAUCAGGAGGAACACCGGUGGCGAAGGCGGGUCUCUGGGCAGUAACUGACGCUGAGGAGCGAAAGCGUGGGGAGCGAACAGGAUUAGAUACCCUGGUAGUCC